GAUGAAGAACGCAGCGAAAUGCGAUAAGUAAUGUGAAUUGCAGAAUUCAGUGAAUCAUCGAAUCUUUGAACGCACAUUGCGCCCUUUGGUAUUCCGAAGGGCAUGCCUGUUCGAGCGUCAUUAUCACCCCUCAAGCCCUCGGCUUGGUGUUGGACGGUUUGGUGGAGGCCCCCUCGGGGGUUCCUGCCCCUCCCAAAGACAAUGACGGCGGCCUCGUUGGACCCCCGGUACACUGAGUUCUUCACGGGACACGUAUCGGACACAUGGGUUUACGGGACACGGUCUGCCUCCCCUCAGGGAGAAUCUUUCUAAGGUUGACCUCGGAUCAGGUAGGGAUACCCGCUGAACUUAAGCAUAUCAAUAAGCGGAGGA
rnacentral:misc_RNA from 1 species